rnacentral:rRNA from 1 species
UACAGAGACCUCAAGCGUUAUCCGGAAUCAUUGGGCGUAAAGCGUACCGAUAGGUGGUUACGAAAGUCAGAUGUGAAAUCUCCGAGCUCAACUCGGAAUCUGUCAUUUGAAACUUCUUGACUAGAGGGGCAAAGAGGAAGCUGGAACGAACGGUGUAGUAGUGAAAUGCGUUGAUAUCGUUCGGAACACCAAUAGCGUAGGCAGGCUUCUGGGUGCCACCUGACACUGCUAGGACGAAAGCGUGGGGAGCGAAUGGG